rnacentral:tRNA from 1 species
GUCAGUAUGGCAUAAUGGUUUGAGUGCUGGACUAUGACUCUGGAGACCAGGGUUCGAUUCCCGACUGAUC